rnacentral:misc_RNA from 1 species
CGCUGGGGGGUUUUCCCUGUGCACGUCGUUCUUUCUUUGUUUGACUCCGUUCCUCUCUUUCCUUCACACACACACACCUUGUGCACCUGUUGUAGGUCUCUCUCGAUAAAGAGGACCUAUGUUUUUUCACAUCACACCCUUAUCGUAUGUCCAUAGAAUGUAUGGGAAAAUGAUAUAUACAACUUUCAGCAACGGAUCUCUUGGCUCUCGCAUCGAUGAAGAACGCAGCGAAUUGCGAUAAGUAAUGUGAAUUGCAGAUUUUCAGUGAAUCAUCGAAUCUUUGAACGCAUCUUGCGCUCCUUGGUAUUCCGAGGAGCAUGCCUGUUUGAGUGUCAUUGAAUUCUCAACCAUGUGUCUUGAUUGAUUCAUGGCUUGGAGGUUGGGGGUUGCUGGCGGCGAUCUGGCUGUUGGCUCUCCUGAAAUGCAUUA